rnacentral:rRNA from 1 species
UGGGUGAUCUGCCCUGCACUUCGGGAUAAGCCUGGGAAACUGGGUCUAAUACCGGAUAGGACCACGGGAUGCAUGUCUUGUGGUGGAAAGCGCUUUAGCGGUGUGGGAUGAGCCCGCGGCCUAUCAGCUUGUUGGUGGGGUGACGGCCUACCAAGGCGACGACGGGUAGCCGGCCUGAGAGGGUGUCCGGCCACACUGGGACUGAGAUACGGCCCAGACUCCUACGGGAGGCAGCAGUGGGGAAUAUUGCACAAUGGGCGCAAGCCUGAUGCAGCGACGCCGCGUGGGGGAUGACGGCCUUCGGGUUGUAAACCUCUUUCACCAUCGACGAAGGUCCGGGUUCUCUCGGAUUGACGGUAGGUGGAGAAGAAGCACCGGCCAACUACGUGCCAGCAGCCGCGGUAAUACGUAGGGUGCGAGCGUUGUCCGGAAUUACUGGGCGUAAAGAGCUCGUAGGUGGUUUGUCGCGUUGUUCGUGAAAUCUCACGGCUUAACUGUGAGCGUGCGGGCGAUAC